rnacentral:rRNA from 1 species
CACUUUCAGUAGGGAGGAAGGUAGUGUAGUUAACACCUGCAUUAUUUGACGUUACCUACAGAAGAAGCACCGGCUAACUCCGUGCCAGCAGCCGCGGUAAUACGGAGGGUGCGAGCGUUAAUCGGAAUUACUGGGCGUAAAGCGCAUGCAGGCGGCCUGUUAAGUCAGAUGUGAAAGACCCGGGGCGUUAACCUCGGAAUUGCAUUUGUAAACUGGCAGGCUAGAGUCUUGUAGAGGGGGGUAGGAAGUUUCAGGUGUAGCGGUGAAAUGCGUAGAGAUCUGAAGGAAUACCAGUGGCGAAGGCGGCCCCCUCGGACAAAGACUGACGCUCAGAUGCGAAAGCGUGGGGAGCAAACAGGAUUAGAUACCCUGGUAG